rnacentral:rRNA from 1 species
AGCCCAACAGCUAGCCCCCCUAAAUAAACCCACCUAUCAGAUAUUACUACACCUUAAGAUACUAAACUUAUCAACUAAAACAUUUUUCCCCUUUAGUAUGGGAGACAGAAAAAGGACUAAGGGCGCUAUAGAGAAAGUACCGCAAGGGAACGCUGAAAGAGAAAUGAAAAACCCAGUAAAGCACAAAAAAGCAGAGACACCUCCUCGUACCUUUUGCAUCAUGGAUUAGCAAGUAACAUUUAAGCAAAAUGAUUUUUAGUUUAUUUCCCCGAAACUAAGUGAGCUACUCCAAGACAAUCUGAUAUAGAAGGAUUCACCCGUCUCUGUGGCAAAAGAGUGGGGAGAGCUUCGAGUAGAGGUGACAAACCUAUCGAACUUAGUUAUAGCUGGUUGCCUGAGAAAUGAAUAGAAGUUCAGCCUCUUAUCUUCUUCCUUCGCUAUUGGGGGCCCCUGACACCAGAGCAAAAGAAGUUAAGAGAGUUAGUUAAAGGAGGGACAGCUCCUUUAAAAAAGACACAACUUUCGUAGGUGGGUAAGGAUCAAAAUAAACAAAGGCAAGAUAUCUUGGUGGGCCUAAAAGCAGCCACCCAAAAAGAAAGCGUUAUAGCUCAAGCAUCACCCCAGCCACAAAUUCUGAUAAACCUUUCUAAACCCCCUUAACUUACCAGGCCUCCCUACAACUAUGUAGGGAUGAUAAUGCUAGUAUGAGUAAUAAGAGACGCAACUCUCUCCAAGCACAAGUGUAAAUCAGAACGAACCCAUCACUGAAAAUUAACGGUCCCAAAGCAAAGAGGGGAUUGGAUCUAAACAUGAAAAGCUAGAAGACCUUCCAAUACUAACCGUUACCCCCACACUGGUGUGCCCCUCGGAAAGACUAAAAGGGGAAGAAGGAACUCGGCAAAAGUACUAAAAAGCCUCGCCUGUUUACCAAAAACAUCGCCUCUUGACCCAAUAUAAGAGGUCCCGCCUGCCCGGUGACACAUGUUUAACGGCCGCGGUAUUUUGACCGUGCGAAGGUAGCGCAAUCACUUGUCUUUUAAAUGAAGACCUGUAUGAAUGGCACCACGAGGGCUUAACUGUCUCCUUCCCCUGGUCAAUGAAAUUGAUCUCCCCGUGCAGAAGCGGGGAUACACACAUAAGACGAGAAGACCCUUUGGAGCUUUAGACAAAGGCAGACCAUGUCCCUCCCCCUAAAUAAAAAGAAUAAACUAAUUGGGCCCUGCACUCCGUCUUUGGUUGGGGCGACCGCGGGGUACACAAAACCCCCAUGUGGAAUGGGAGGUUCCUCCUAUAAUCAAGAGCCACAGCUCAAACUUUCAGAACUUCUGACCAAAAAAGAUCCGGCAUUGCCGAUCAACGAACCUAGUUACCCUAGGGAUAACAGCGCAAUCCCCUUUUAGAGCCCAUAUCGACAAGGGGGUUUACGACCUCGAUGUUGGAUCAGGACAUCCUAAUGGUGCAACCGCUAUUAAGGGUUCGUUUGUUCAACGAUUAAAGUCCUACGUGAUCUGAGUUCAGACCGGAGUAAUCCAGGUCAGUUUCUAUCUAUGAGAUGUUUCCUUCUAGUACGAAAGGACCGAAAGAAAGAGGCCUAUACUAUAAGCACGCCUCCCCCUGCUCUGAUGAAAUCAACUAAAACAGACAAAAGGGCAUGCCCUAUCUGUCCAAGAUAAAGGACUU